rnacentral:rRNA from 1 species
AUGAUGCCUGCAAGGACUGAUGUAAGACAUGUAGGACCGGUAGCAAAGUUACUGAAGACUAACCUGAAUUUGCCUCCAGCACACUUCCAAGGUGAUGCAAACAAGGAGAACUGGCCACCAAGAAUAGUUGAAGAGCCAGCCAACAAACUCAAGAGUAGAAGGGUGUUCGGGAUGUGCGAUGACUACUGCCCAGCUCCAAGUUUUGGAGUGAUUUUCGAUGAAUUGGAACCUGUCCUUGAGGAAGGAGAUAAGGACAUCAACAAAUGGGAUGAAGUUCUUAACAUGCAAACAGAGAAUAUCGCAACAUCGAGCAUAAGAGAAGUAAUAAACCUUGAUGAUGAUGUGUGGGAUGCAGAGGAACUAGAGGCAGCGUGUGCUGAAGCAGAACGAAGGGGGAAAGAAUUAGUUAAUUGUGCUAUGUUCAGUACACCAGAGAAAAUCAUCAAUGAAAUAGAUGUGGGGUCAGGUGGUAAGUUUUCUAGCAGUAGCAGUUCAGGGGAGGUAAUUACCAACAAACUUGAGAGGAGGCUCAUCAAGCCAUUAGCAUCUUUGAGCUCACCUUUCACGGGCAUUGACAACAAAAAGGAAUCUUAUUGCAAACCCGAAGUCAAUCGCUUAUAUGCAUCUGUUAUUUUGCACGCAAGGCACAGUGCAGAAGAAUCACCCGAUACGGAUAACAGCCCAAGACUCAUUGAAUUCGAGGGAUACUUUGUAACCUUGAGGGAGCUCGCGGAGUCCAUGAAGUGUGGUGGUUUCGUCAUUUUGCAUGUUUUCCAAGUUGGGUUACAAAGUAUAAUUUACAACUUGCCAGCUAACUCAAAGAAGGUUAUCAUGCGAGUUAAAUUCUCGGUCAGGUUACAACAGAUGAUAUGGAAUACAAAAGAGAUUACUGUCAGGUUUAACAAGUCAAAUCACUUGGACCGAAAAGACAUGAUUAUGUUUCCUAUCCUAGAGAACAUUGACCAAAAAAAACAGUAUCGGGGAAUCAUUACUGAGUGUUCAAUUUGA